CCAUAUUCUCCCUCUGGAACGAGCAGUGUGCAUCUAAAACGUGGGUUGCUAUCCUCCUGUCCACAACCAAUCUGAGGAUUCCAGAAGAACUCGUGGAUUGCGCGGUCCCACGACAUCACCUCAUCGAUGCAGUCGAUGGUUUGUUCCAGAUUCAGGCUUGUUUCCGGGAAGAAACCCUGACAGAAGUUCAGAAGAACGGGAGCUGCAUUCCGUUAGGACGUGAAUACAUGAAAUGCUCGUCUCACGACCUUCUAGAAGAAUGAGCUGGGACCCAGUUUCUGAGUCCUGCUGGAACCAGAGACCGAGGUGUGGAGUUUCUUCUGCCAGUCUUUGGAUUGCUCUCUGUUUCAUGGACUUGGGUGUGGAUAUUAUGUAGUUGAACACAUGGGACAAGGUAUUUCCCAGGUGUCUGAAAGCCUGCAUUGAGCUGAGCCUUAAGAGAGAUGUUUGGAAUUCAUUUUUGAGAGUAGACAGCCAGUCCAAGAAAGCUUUGUAAUUGGCUCUUAGAUUUAAGUUGUGAGAGAUUGUGGAUGCCUUGAGUGUGCGUGGAUCUAGAUGGCGGCCUUGUUCUGAGAACAGGCCACUGCUACGACGCCCAACAGGGAACCCUAAGCAGAGAGGGAUUCAGGAGCAGACCAGCUACCACUUUUCUCCCACAAAUGGUCGCCUUGGAACUCUUUAUGGAAGAGGAGAAAACACCCACCACCACCGUUUCAUAACCCUGCACCAAAUGUGGAGACAACAACCACCCACCCCCAAAAUGAAACUCCAGCAGGGUACAUGUAUGGAACCUAAGGUGUUGGUCAUGUAUUUUGGAUCAAUAAGUGAGGUUGUACUUUUGACUGGUAAGUGUACAUCUAAAUCCCUCAGAGAGGAUAUUAUCUGAGGUCACCCCAACUUAAAUUGUUGGCCCAUGGGGAGAUGUGUUGUCCCUAUUGGUUGUAUUGAUGUUGUCUCUGCAGGCCAGUGAAUUAAAGCUCCAUAGGGUCUUGUCCUAUUCCCGCCUCUUCAUGGGAAGUUCCAUUUCACUGAUUGGAAGAGACAAUACAACCCUCGUGUGGCCAUUCAUAUGAGUCACUAUUUAGGGAACAAAUGAUUAUGCUACCUUUGCAUGGUCAUUUCACGAAUGUCCCUGGGCAGGCAGGGCCUCUAAAACUACAAAUGCUACAGGUUAUUUUAUUGGUAAACAGGUGGGGUUUGUGUUCACUGAGUUCUUUUUAUUUCUUUUCAUUUUUCCUUGAUUGUCUAUCUGUGUUGGGUCAACAAUUGGUUUGAUAUUGACUUUACAGUUAGGUUAUUUUUAUCUCAUGUUUAUCCAUGGUUAUCUGCUCUGAUAGAUGCUUAUCCAAGGACAAAUAUUUCUUGUUGCACAUACUAACCUUAUUGCUUCUAUUGUGAAAUUAACCUGGUCAUAACUUAGGGGUUGGUUGUCUUUUUUUUGUAUUCAGAUCUUAAGAUCAUAUACAAGUGCCUGAGCCAUACUAUGAACGCUCAUCGCCACAGACCUAACAACCGCCUACAGUAUGCGAAUCAUAUCUUUUGCCCUUCUAGGUCAGCCUGAUACACGUACUUGGUGAUGCAGGGGUGUAAUGCUCAAAUCCCUUAUCGGUCUUGGACGGGUGUCAUGCUAGCACUCCCCCAUCGGCAAGGGAGUAGUGAUACCACCACUAAAUCUAACAUUUCUUGAAUAGUUUUCAUCACAGUCAGAGCUGAAGAAGCAGUCUUAUGUUACAGUUAGGGUUAGGGAUAGGAUUAGAGUUAGAGUUAGGGGUUAGGAUAAAGGUUAGGUCACACUUACACCCCCCCCUUAGGUGUGGGAGGGAGGCACUCAUGCACCUUGCCACUCCUCAGCAUGGGAGGGUGUCAUCCAUGUGCCAGCACCCCUUGGCGAGGGAGUAGUGAUGCCACUAUUAAAUCUGAUGUUUCAUGAAUGGGUCUUUUCACUUUCAUGGCUGAAGAAGCAGCAUCUCUUAUGAUGAGGGUUAGAGUUUGGAUUACCCUGAGGGAUAGGGUAAGAGUUAGGUCAUGCUUGCACCCCCCGUUUGGCAAGGGAGGACGGUCACACCUGACCCCCACCACCCUUGGUGCCAAAGGGUGUUCAGGCAUGCACCCUGCCUCCCCUCCACAAAGGAGUAGUGAUGCCACUAUUUAAUGUGUUGUUUUAUGAAUGGCUCUUUUCACUUUCACAGCUGAAGAAGCAGGCAUUUCUUAAGGUAAGGGUUAUGGUUAGGAUUGCCGUUCAUGGUUCGGGUAAGGGAUAGACCAUGCCUGCACCCUCCCUUGGAGUGGGAGGGCGUUCACACAUGCUCCACGCCCCCUCUCAUCUGGAGAGGGUGUUCACCAAUAGGACUCAGCCCCCUUCCGCGGGGGAGCGUGUUGAUGUAUGCGCCUGCACCCCUCUCGUGUGCGAGGGUGUUCACGCAUGAACACCACAACCCUAGGCGAGGGAGGGCAUUUGCCCCUGCUCCCUGCCCUCUUUGGCUCAGGAGGGUGUUCACGCAUGCGCACAGUCCCCCGUUGGCUUGGGAGGGUGUUCAGUUAUGUGCACGCACAGGCCUCUAGGUGCGGGAGGGGUUCACGCAUGUGCCCUGCCCCCCUGAGGCGCUGGAGAGGGUCACUUGUGCACAGCACCACUAGUCAGUAAGGGAGUAGUGAUGCCACUAUUAAAUCUCAUUUUUCAUGGACGGCUGUUUUCAUUUUCACAGCUGAAGAAGCAUACAUCUCUUAAGGUCAAGGGUAGGGUUAGCAUUACAGUUAGGGGUUAAGAUAACUGUUAGUUCAAUCUUGCUCUCCCCCCUCAGCAUGGGAAUGUUUCACGCAUUACCCUGCUAUCCUGAGCAAAGGAGAGUGUUCACCCUUUCACCCCACCCCCUGAGAGUGGCAAAAUAUUGAAGCAUGUGCUCCACUCCACCUCUGCUGCGUAGGUCGCCACUUCGGGACAGAUUGUUCAUACAUGUGUACCACCACCUCUCGGUGUGGGAGGGUGUUCACUCAUGGCACACCCCACCUAUGCAUGGGAGAUGGUUCAUGCAUGUGUCUUGCCCACCUCAGCAUGGGAGGGUUUUUACACAUGUGCACAGCCCCACCUUGGUGUGGGAGAGGUCACCCAUGCAGAGCGCCACCCAUCAAUGAGGGAAUAGUGAUGCCACUAUUAAAUGUGAUGUUUCAUGAAUGGUUCUUUUCACUUUCACAGCUGAACUAGCAGACAACCCUUAAGGUAAGGGUUAGGGUUAGCAUUACUACUAACGGUUAGGGUAAGGGUUAGGUCAUGCUUCCACACCCCUCGUCACCAGAGUAUAUUCACGCAAUAGCACCGCCCUUCAGUGCAGGAGAAUAUUAAUGCAUGUGCCCCACCCCUUUCAGCAUGGUAGGAUGUUCACACAUGUGCCCCAUCCCCUUCCACUUGGUAGUGCGUUCACGUAUUCGCACAUUUGCACAUCCCUCCUAAGGUGAGUGAGGGUGUUGACACAUGUGCCCUGUCUCCCUCCACAUGGGAGGUGGUUCACAAAUGCUCCUCACCUCUUGGCGAGGGAGGGUGUCACCCAUUAACAGUGCCACCCCUCGGAGAGGGAGUAGUGUUGUCACUAUUAAAUGUGACUUUUCAUCAAUGAUUCUUUUCCUUUCACAGCUGAAGAAGCACACAUCACUUAAGGUAAGGGUUAGGGUUAGCAUUACAUCUAGGGUUUAGGGUAAGGGUUAGGUCAUGCUUACUCCCCCUCUCUGCACGAGAGGUGUUUCACUCAUGCUCCCUGCCCCACUUGACACAUGUUCACGGAUGCGCACAGCCCUCCCUCGGGGUAGAAGGAUGUUCUCACGCACAACCCCCCUUUGCAACGGAGGGCGUUUGCGCAUGCAUCCUGCCCCACUAGCGCGGGAGUUUGUUCUCACGUGUGUAAGGCCCCCUCCCUCCUGGCGUAAGGGCAUUCACCCAUGUGCACCAUUCCCCAUUUGGCAUGAGAAGGUGUUGACCUAUGUGACUUGAUACAUCACCAUGGGAGAAUAUUCACGCAUCUGCCCCACCCUCUUCUGCCCCGGAGGGGAGGUUGUGUUCAUGCAUGGGCACAGCCCACAGUCAUUGAGGGACGGUAUUCAUGCAUGCGCACAACAACCUCUCCAUGAGGGAGGGUGUUCACACAUGCGCCAUGCAUCCCUCAGCAAGGGAAUGGUUUAAGCAUGCGCCCCAUACACACUUUGGCACGGAGGGUGUUGACCUAUGCACCUCGUCCCCUCAGCACAGGAGGUUGUUCCUAGAUGUGACCAGCCCCUGUCGUGGCGGAAGUGUGUUCACGUUUGUAAACAACCCCGGCUAGGGGAGGGAUGCUAUUCGCACGUGGGCCCCACCCCAUACCAUGGGGGGCUGUUCAUACAUGUGCACAGCUCUCCCUACUGGCGGAAGUGUGUUCACACAUGCACAAAAGUCCUGCUCAAAGAUAUAGGGCGUUUCCACAUUAGCACAACCCCCAUCAGCGAGGGAGGGCAUUCAUGCAUGCUCCUUACCCGCUACUGCAGUAGGCUCUACAGGCAUGUGCACAGCA